AGAACGAACGCUGGCGGCAGGCUUAACACAUGCAAGUCGAACGCCCCGCAAGGGGAGUGGCAGACGGGUGAGUAACGCGUGGGAAUCUACCUAGUUCUACGGAACAACAGUUGGAAACGACUGCUAAUACCGUAUACGCCCUAAGGGGGAAAGAUUUAUCGGAAUUAGAUGAGCCCGCGUAAGAUUAGCUAGUUGGUGGGGUAAUGGCCUACCAAGGCGACGAUCUUUAGCUGGUCUGAGAGGAUGAUCAGCCACACUGGGACUGAGACACGGCCCCAGACUCCUACGGGAGGCAGCAGUGGGGAAUAUUGGACAAUGGGCGCAAGCCUGAUCCAGCCAUGCCGCGUGAGUGAUGAAGGCCCUAGGGUUGUAAAGCUCUUUCAACGGUGAAGAUAAUGACGGUAACCGUAGAAGAAGCCCGGCUAACUUCGUGCCAGCAGCCGC
rnacentral:rRNA from 1 species